CUCCGGCCCGCAUUGUAAUUUGCAGAGGAUGCUUUUGGUGAGGUGCCUUCCGAGUUCCCUGGAACGGGACGCCAUAGAGGGUGAGAGCCCCGUAUGGAUGGACACCAAACCUGUGUAAAGCUCCUUCAACGAGUCGAGUAGUUUGGGAAUGCUGCUCAAAAUGGGAGGUAAAUCUCUUCUAAAGCUAAAUACCGGCCAGAGACCGAUAGCGCACAAGUAGAGUGAUCGAAAGAUGAAAAGCACCUUGAAAAGGGGGUUAAACAGUACGUGAAAUUGUUAAAAGGGAAGCGCUUGUGACCAGACUUGCGCCGGGCAGCUCAUCAGGGGUUCUCCCCUGUGCACUCUGCCCGGCUCAGGCCAGCAUCGGUUCUCGUGGGAGGAUAAGAACAGUAGGAAUGUGGCCCCCUCUCGGGGGGGUGUUAUAGCCUAUUGUACGAUACUCUCGUGGGGACCGAGGUUCGCGCUCCGCAAGGAUGCUGGC
rnacentral:rRNA from 1 species